rnacentral:rRNA from 1 species
GACGAACGCUGGCGGCGCACAUAAGACAUGCAAGUCGAACGGACUUAACCAUUAGUUUACUAUUGGAGCGGUUAGUGGCGGACUGGUGAGUAACGCGUAAGCAAUCUGCCUAUCAGAGGGGAAUAACAGUGAGAAAUCACUGCUAAUACCGCAUAAGCUGUGAGUAUCGCAUGAUACAAAUAGAAAGGAGCAAUCCGCUGAUAGAUGAGCUUGCGUCUGAUUAGCUAGUUGGCGGGGUAACGGCCCACCAAGGCGACGAUCAGUAGCCGGACUGAGAGGUUGAACGGCCACAUUGGGACUGAGACACGGCCCAG